UGACGUUGCGGCCAGAUCAGCAGCUU
rnacentral:piRNA from 1 species